UCUGGCUGCGCCCAUUUGUUUGGCCGGCUACAUCUGUGCCCUAUCUAUAGGCCUACGUUAGUCUGUGCCUGAACCCCCUUUUGGCCGCAGGCCUGGGGGAAUGUUACUGAGGAAAGCCCAGUAUGCACUAUUGACAUGGCUGCCAUAUGUCCUGAAGUGACAUUGGUAUACAGGCACAUAUAUAUGAUUGGAAGGGUGAAGGUCCUAAACCUCAUGCCCUGAGAGACAAG